GAUAUCCUCUCCAUUGCAGCCCCUUCAGCCUCCCGAGGUGGACUCGCACUGGACACUGCACUGAGCUCCAGACCUUCAUCUGGCCCCUUCAGAUUCCCAGGCCGCAGACAGACCUUCAGCGCUCUUCCACACCCAGUGGAGUCUGUGGGUGGCCACUGAUCCACUUACGGCUGCUACAAGAAAACGACUGGCUUUUGUGCCAGGGUUCCAAUUUGUAUGGAGUGUCAUCUUUAUAAUGCAAUGUCCCAUUUGAGGACGGAACGCACGGGAGAACAUUUUCUGCGGCCAGAGCCUCACAGGAGGAGCCCGUCAGCACCUCUGUGAGAGGAGGAGGGACCAGAAAGAGAGUGAGCAAUUCCUGGGGGCAGGAAGGACGUCCAUGCCUCCAAGGAAGACGUUGCCCGUUUUCCUUCUGACGUGGUCAGCACCUGGGUGGGAACCUGAUACUGGCACAGAAGCACAAAGCACAAAUGAUGAAUUAUUCAGAUGAUCACAUUUUCAUUCUAAAAGCCAGAUAUUAGCUUGACUGAUUGGUUUGGUGUUGGAAAAUAAACUCAUUAUAAGGUACUAGGUUUCAUAAGAGUAAGUAGUCAUUCCAGCAAAACCUGACUUAGGAAAAUAUUUUGAACAUUCAAAAUCUUCACUAAUGUCUACUUUAUUCAUUUACAAUAUUUUAUUGCAUAAUAAGCACAUAUUUUAGAGGAAAUGUAAGGCUCAAGAUAAGCAUAAAGAAAAUAAAAAUUAUUCAUAGAUGUACCUUAUAAAAAUAAGAUAUCAUGUUGAUUUAUAAUAUUCUCUAUAUUUUUCUAUGUAUUUAAUUUUUUUUUCAAAAUGGGCUGAUACAAUAAUGUUUGCAAUUUCU